GACGAACGCUGGCGGCGUGCUUAACACAUGCAAGUCGAGCGGUAAGGCCCUUUCGGGGGUACGACGAGCGGCGAACGGGUGAGUAACACGUGGGUGACCUGCCCUCAGCUCUGGGAUAAGCCUGGGAAACCGGGUCUAAUACUGGAUAUGACUCCAUGACGCAUGUUGUGGGGUGGAAAGCCUUGUGCGGCUGAGGAGUGGGCCCG
rnacentral:rRNA from 1 species